ACGAGUUUGGAGAUACUCAUCCAGAGCAGCGAGAGUGGGCUGUUUACUCAACCAGAUGGCAGUGAGGAGCUCAGCCUUACCGAAAAUACCCUGAUGGGGCCUGUGUUUCUGUCCCCUCGAAGGUUUUCCUGUCCAGAGUUUGCUGUGUGCGUGUGCAGUUUAGAUUCCAGCUCCUGACUCCCUCCCAGCCAUGGCCGCCUCACCCGUAGCCUCAGCAGAAAAUUCAAGAGGCCUUGGAAGCCUACACUCCAGCCCCACUGGCAGAGGGAGCUUCCCUCCAACACUCCCACAUCUCUGGGAGACCUGUGAUGACACCUCCUGGUCAGGAAGCACUGAAACAAGCUUCUGGCCGACAGUGGAUUUGCACGUGUGCAGGAUACCUCAGGAUUCUCGGAGGGAGUCAGGCGUCCUUGCUGAGAGGUGAUCACCAGAGCCUGGGUGCAGCAAAGGGACAGCAGAGCCACCCUCACCCCACACAUCAGGACCCAGGCAGCUGCCGCUUUUCACCAUGCCCUGAGCUGGCCUUGGCCCACCCACUCAGCACCUUUGCCUCGUUUCCUUGCCAGUUCCACUCCAGCAGACUUUCCCAUCCUGGCAGGUGAGCCGUCAAGGACUACAGGUCUCCUUUCACCUGGACCCUGUGCUGCUGCUGGGAUGGUGGGGUGGUGCAAGCUUUGGGUCCUGUCCUCUCUAGACACACAGGGCUUUCUGGGACCUUCAGCUUCCCAGCCAGCCCUCCAUGUGUCUGAGCUGAUCCUGGACAAGCAACUGCAGGAGCAGGAUUUAUCCUGACUCCCUAAGCCCGCACGUGGGCACAGAUCCUUCUCCAUCUCUACGGGUUCCCCCACUCCUGGGCUCCUGUCACUUCAUCUGGCUUCCUACCUGUAUCCUCAUCCAGGACUGAUGGGUCUCCCUUCAGAAGUACCCACAGCAGGGUCCUACUUCUCCCUGGCUGGGCCAAGGGAACCCAUACUGCCACCAGUCUCAGAGUCUGUCGCCACCCUCCCCCGCUAGUCAGGGAGCAGCCCCUCUGCCACCACCUGUGACACAGGAGAUGCCCGGACACAAGCAGAAACUGCAACGUGUCUCACAGGUCCUUAGGAAUCUUCCUUGGUCCUUCUUGUUUCUCCUGCCACCUCACCCGAGGCCCUCACAAGAAUGCCAGUCCUCCCUGCCCCGAUGGCCUAAGAACCGCUGGGUUCUGGGUGGUGCACAACGGACCCUUUUAAAUUUGCACAACACCAAGUGUAGGAACAGCUUCUGACACAUCUGUAGGCGGAGAUUAUCCACUUGGCUCUCAAGCUGUUAGUCCAGCUGUGGCUUCUGUUUUUACAGGGUUUCAUUUCCAUUGGUUUUGCUCCUUUUUAAUAAAGAUUUUUUCAUCUCUUUCUCUCACUCCCAACCAAAAUAACACUGUAGCCAAACUGAGAUACCUAUUUUCUGCUUCAGAAGAAAAAUAAAUAAAUCUGCA